GCCAGUGUGGUGUAGUGGUUUGAGCUUUGGACUACAACUCUGGAGACCCAGGGUUCAAAUCCUUACUUAGACA
rnacentral:tRNA from 1 species